UUUUUAGGAUAAGUAUGGCUCAUAUAAUAUUUGGGCCAUACUUGUCCUAAAU
rnacentral:pre_miRNA from 1 species